AUGUAUGGUUGCAGGUGAUGUCUUACUCCUGGCUUCUUUGACCAAAUGCUGAUAUGCUUUCUAUAAUGCGUGUAGUAGGAUGGAUGAGGUUACGGCCUAGUGGUCACACUAAGGAGGGAUGAGGUUAAGGAUGGAUGAGGUUACGGCCUAGUGGUCACACUAAGGAUGGAUGAGGUUACGGCCUAGUGGUCACACUAAGGAGGGAUGAGGUUAAGGAUGGAUGAGGUUACGGCCUAGUGGUCACACUAAGGAGGGAUGAGGUUACGGCCUAGUGGUCACACUAAGGAUGGAUGAGGUUACGGCCUAGUGGUCACACUAAGGAGGGAUGAGGUUACGGCCU